AACUCAAUCAUGAUACAGAAUUAUAGUGGGAAGAGAAUGUGAAUUAU
rnacentral:guide_RNA from 1 species